CUCAGUAACACGUGGCCAAACUACCCUGUGGAUGGGAACAAUCUCGGGAAACUGAGGCUAAUUCCCAAUAACGCUCCGCCCCUGGAACGGGCGGAGCUGGAAACGCUACGGCGCCACAGGAUGUGGCUGCGGUCGAUUAGGUAGACGGUGGGGUAACGGCCCACCGUGCCAAUAAUCGGUACGGGUUGUGAGAGCAAGAGCCCGGAGACGGAAUCUGAGACAAGAUUCCGGGCCCUACGGGGCGCAGCAGGCGCGAAACCUUUACACUGUACGCAAGUGCGAUAAGGGGACUCCGAGUGUGAAGGCAUAGAGCCUUCACUUUUGUACACCGUAAGGUGGUGUACGAAUAAGGGCUGGGCAAGACCGGUGCCAGCCGCCGCGGUAAUACCGGCAGCCCGAGUGAUGGCCGAUAUUAUUGGGCCUAAAGCGUCCGUAGCUGGCCGGACAAGUCCGUUGGGAAAUCUGUUCGCUUAACGAGCAGGCGUCCAGCGGAAACUGUUCGGCUUGGGACCGGAAGACCUGAG
rnacentral:rRNA from 1 species